rnacentral:rRNA from 1 species
UACAGAGGUCCCAAGCGUUGUUCGGAUUCACUGGGCGUAAAGGGUGCGUAGGUGGCCGGGUAAGUCUGACGUGAAAUCUCCGAGCCUAACUCGGAAACUGCGUCGGAUACUAUCCGGCUUGAGGGUUGGAGGGGGGACUGGAAUACUUGGUGUAGCAGUGAAAUGCGUAGAUAUCAGGAGGAACACCGGUGGCGAAGGCGGGUCUCUGGGCCGAUACUGACGCUGAGGAGCGAAAGCAUGGGUAGCGAACAGG